rnacentral:snRNA from 1 species
AUGCUCGCUCCGGGCAAACACAAAUACUAAAAUUGGAACAAUACAGAAAAGAUCAGCACAGCCCCUGUGCAGGAUGACUUUAUGUCAAAUAAAUGAAAUAAAAUAAAU